GUGCUCACUUGGGCAGCACAUAUACUAAAAUUGGAAUGAUACAAAGAUGAUUAGCAGUUCCCUUGCUCAAGGAUGACAUGAAAAUUCAUGAAGCAUUCCAUAUUUUU
rnacentral:snRNA from 1 species